rnacentral:rRNA from 1 species
GGGUCAGUAGGUUGGUCGUGCCACCGGUACGUACUGGUCUCACUGAUUCCUCCUUCCUGAAGAACCGUAGUGCCAUUAAUUUGGUGUUGCGGGGAAACAGGACUAUUACUUUGAAAAAAUUAGAGUGUUUAAAGCAAGCUAACGCUUGAAUACAUUAGCAUGGAAUAAUGAAAUAGGACGAUCGAUCCUAUUUUGUUGGUUUCUAGGAUUGACGUA